rnacentral:rRNA from 1 species
UGCUCUGUGAUGCGCUCUCGAAGAGUCGAGUUGUUUGGGAAUGCAGCUCAAAAUGGGUGGUGAACUCCAUCUAAAGCUAAAUAUUGGCGAGAGACCGAUAGCGAACAAGUACCGUGAGGGAAAGAUGAAAAGCACUUUGGAAAGAGAGUGAAACAGUACGUGAAAUUGUUGAAAGGGAAACGCUUGAAGUCAAGUCGCGUCGACCGAGACUCAGCCUUGCCUCGGCUUGGUGUACUUCUCGGCCCGACGGGUCAGCGUCAAUUUUGCCCCUCGGAUAAUGGCAAGGGAAAGGUGGC